UUGUCAUGUGGAACACUUGCAAACCACGUUACUUACAAUCCAAGGUUUUACUGUAUUUCUUAGUUUCUGUGGCUAAUUUAUCUCUGUUCUUUUCACCUAUAUCUUAAAGCCUAACUGUCUCUCAUGUAUCUCUUGGGGAAGAAAAAAACUUGCCCAAACUACCAGGGUUGAACAUUAAAAUUCUAGCUGGAAAAAAUUCAAGGCCCGAGGGUGUGAAGACGCAAUACUGCUGAUAGCCACAGGAGGGCGUCCUGGUCCCUUCAUCAGUGGCUGGUGGGACCAAGAGCUGAGCCACAGGCUAAGCAAUCACCCGGAUGUCUCAUAACCUGAGGAGAACCCAGGCAGGCAAAAAAGGAAGAGAAAGGGCACGAAGCCCCAAUUCUAUCUGGAUGGGAUGGGGGGAGACGCCAAAGAGGUAGAGAGAGGGCAGGUGGCGGGGACUGGGGUUGGCUGACCGCCAAACUACAGAGGACACAUGAGCUCUCCCAGACUGCUCCGGAGGAAGAGCCACCAGCACCUCAAAGCUCUUCCGUCCCAGCCUCAGCAGAGAAGGAGAAGUCCCCAGAGGAGCGAAGCCAGUGACCGUUCCUUCCUGCCUUACUCCCAGGACAGCUAAGAACUCAGAUGGCCUGAAGUUAAUUACUAAGGAAGAACGCUAGGCUGAGAACAUCCCCAAGCAGGAAACCACGAAGGGGAGCCGAAGCCUUUGAAGAUGUUACUUGGCUUCUCUUGUUUAUCAUCAACCUGGACCCAGUGCUCCCGUUUAUAGCAGUUACCUCCACUUACUAUUUCCUACUCGACCUAUGUGUUCAUUUAUUUAUAUUGCAACACAAUUCAAAUACCGGUCAAAUUCACCCUUUAAAAGUAUACAUUGUUUUUUGAGUAUAUUCACAAAGUUGUGCAAACACUGUCUAAAUCCAGAAUUUGUAAUUCCGCUAACCAACAUGCUCCCGAGACAAGCCCUGCCACACCAGGGCUUCCAAGACAACGGCCAUAAACAUCAUCUUCUCUCAGCCACAGAAAGGACUAGGAGCUGCAAACAGGGCCCGCCCUUCCAGCCUGCAGCGUUCAGGCCAGGGUCACUCUUGACUGAGCCUCAGCGCCCUUUUUAAAAGAUGGGCACCUGGGGACGAGCAAGAGCAUGGCCAGCAGAGAGCAGGAGACCCACCAGUGCAAGGGUGGCAGUCUCUGUGGAGGAGGGCAGCCCUGUGUGCCCUGGUCUUGACCCCUGCUCCUUGGUGGGCUGACACUUAUACCGGUCAGGUGGGACCAGCAGGGGCUUUCGUUCUGAGGGACAGGUGGCUGGGUCCUAGUAGCACAUGUGAAAAGGACUGAGGGGUUUUCUUGAUUGCAACCAGUGAGACAGGCUGCCAGAAAAGCCAAUAGGAUCUCCGCUUUCUUUACCAGCAAUACCACCCACUACCCUGCUCAGCCAGGAACCUGGGAGUUCUGCUGACAUCCUGGAAACUCCCUGGCCCACUCACGUCCAUCAAUCACCAAGUCCUGUCAGUCCUACCCCUGCCAUUUCUCUUGAAUCCAUCUCCUUCUUUCUACUUCCACAGCCACCAUCAGACACUCGCCUCCACCUCUGUUUCCCGGACAACGGGGUGGCCUCCUACCUGGUUCCCGGCAACCACUCUUGCCUCCUUCUAAAUUUGUGGGGGCCACAGGCGGCAUCUCUCACUCUAUUCCAGCCACACGGACCCUUCAGCUCUUCCCAGCGCUCCCUCAGGCUCUUCGGAUAAGCCAGACCUUCCACCUAUAACGCUCCCCGCCGUCCACGCCCCUCUCCUCACCUACCCGACACGACCUCAUUCUUCAGGUUGCGGCCUACACAGCACCUCUCUGGGAAGCCUGCCCUACCCCAGACCAGCUCCUCACACUGUUCAUGUCUGUGUUUGCCUCAGGACUGGAAGAUCCACCAGGUGACCUGUCUUGUCUCUCUGCUUGUUGCCUGAGUCCAGGCUCCAGCAGGGUACAGGGUACACAGCAGUCACUCAGCAGAUAUUUGCUGAAUAAAGGAAUGCACAAGCAAAUGAAUAAGAGGGGCCAGAGGACCCUUCAAUUCUCCUGGCCAGGUGACAUCUGGACAGUCCAUUUAGGCUCAGAGAACAAGGGCUUAGCGUGGUGGCGAGUCUGCAAACCAUGAUGUCAGACAAAUGACAGCAUUUAGACCCUUGAGCUUGGAAGAGAAGACUGAGGAGGAAGUGAGGGCUGCCUCUGAGGAAGAUGUCACAGGGAUCUCGAGUUUGGCUCUAGAAGACUUUUUCAAGCUGCCCAGCUCUGGGAUUGUGGCUGCUUUGUUAAGGAGUGAGUUCCUUGUUGCUGGACAUAUUCAAGCAGAGGCCUGAAGACCUGUGCUUCUCAAAAGCAUGAAAGACCUUCUUCCAGCUCCGACAGAGUGUCAUCCCAAGUGUGGACAGAACUAACAGCUUCUCCCUAGUGUUGGUUCUGGUGGGGAAAGAGUUUGCUGUUCAGAGGACUGUGGCAGCAGAAAUGUCUGAAAGACUUGUAGAAAAGUGCUUUUAGAAACAUCAUAGGCUGCGCUGUCCAUCUCCAAACUAGUGCUCUGACCCAUGAAAAUUCUGGGCAUCUGGCACUGGGAUCUUGGCAGGACUGUGGGAGAAGGCAGGCAGGGGGCUUCCACGUCUGUCUUUGCAUUUGGUGACAGACACAACCCAAGGUUGUAGACCUGAUAGCCCACAGACAGCUCCUUCACCCUGAACUCAAACUUGUCACCGCCCCAGAGGCCUCAAGAAGGAAUCUCUUGGAGACGAGGUCAUCCACAUGUGCUGUUUUCCAGUUGAUGGCAGUUGGCUCAACAUCCCUUCCUGCCAGAGGCCUUCUGCUAACGUGCCAGCUGCUUCUGACACCUGGAGGAGCCGGGCCGCCCCUGCUUUGAAGUGGAGCCAAUGGGGAGCCGCUGCCAACAAGAGUCUGUACAAAUCUACUGGGUCGUGGAGGGAUCCUUGCAGGCCACGUCUCUGGGCCAGAGAGAGGGACUCAGGGGGAGAGGGGCAGGCACUCCAGUUCAGGCUGGCUCUGAGCAGAACCAUGUGAAGGGUGGGGUCCAGUGCAAGCAAUGGAGAAAGAAUGGAGAAAGAGCACUUGGCAGGGUCCAAGCUAAUCCUAAGGGGGCUGGCCGCUCUCUCCCUCCGUUGCUGAUUUCCAACAGCUGGGAGGGGCUGGCUGCUUGGGAGUUAAGUGGGUGCCAAGGAGGCAACAGCUUCCAGUCUGAACCUACUGACUUGCCAACUUCCCAUCAGCCCCUACGGGUCAGUAUUCCUGGCCUGUGGCACGAGCGGCCCCCAUUUUCCUGCCAUCCUGGGUUUGCAGUCCUGGGAUCAGGUCCAGCUCCACCACUCAUGGGCCAAGUUACCUUUUCUCUCCAAGCCUCAGUUUCCUCAUCUGUGAAGAAGAGAUAAUCAUAGUUCCUAUUUCACAAGAUCCUCGUGAAGAGUCAGUAUGAUGAUGUACUGGGUAUAAUAAGCACCAAAAUAACUGUUAGUUGCUAUCAAUAAGUGUACUCUAGUUGGUUUAAGAUGCUGGAAGAGCUCAAAAUAGCAAAGAAAAUAUAUGGCUCAAGAGGAAGUCAGUGUUGCCAGCACCCAGCCGGGCAGAGGCUCUCAGGCGGAAGCAAGCUAUCCUGUUUCGAGUCCACUUUUGGGGGAAGCCAGCCCUCAGCCAGGGCCAGGAAGAACAGCCACCUUCGAUGACUGCACUUCUUCUGAUGGAGAAACUGAGGCUUGGAGAAGUUGCUUAGUGUCACAAGCCAGUAAGUGAAGGAACUGGAACGUGAAUCCAGGGCCCUGUGGCCCCAGGACCUGAGUCCUGGCCUUCGUGGAACAGGGGCCAGCUGAAAAGUGACUCUCUUCCAUGGGGGUGAGUUGCUAUGUCUAAAUUAGAUUCUUAGGAGUUUAUGUGCCUUUGAAGCACUACAUGCAUUCAGCAUGUAAUCAUGAUAAAGGAGCUUUUCCUAUUAAACACAUAUUAUCCACUAGGGAAUCAGGCCUUUAGUGAGGGAGAAAUGAGUUAAAUCUGUGGUUUAAUAAACACUGCCAGUGAUUCUGAUGCACUGCUUUAAAUCUUCACCCUUGGAGUGGAGCUUCCGAACCCUGUGUCACUUGGGCAUUGAAUGGGUUACAGGUGUGAUGGUUCCCUUGGCCUAGCUGGGAGGAGGCCAGAGCCUGCAGGCUAAUUGCAGGCAGUCUCAUCUUUACCUUACUUUUUGUUAUAUUUUCUGAGUGUUGUGAAGUGAAAGAAGGCCAGAAAGUACUGCCUUGGGGAAUCCAGGAACUUCUCAUUUAUCUCUUAAAAUUCUUAUAAUAAUAAUAAUGCCAACAAUAUUUUAAUAGCAAGAAACUAUUACUUAUUGAACAUCAACAUGCUAAGCAAUUUACAUAUAUUUUUUUGUUGAACUCUUACAACCACCCUAUGAGUUAGAUACUAUUAUUGUGCCUAUUUUACAAAUAUGGUAAGAGGGCUUAGAGAGGUUGAGAGCCUCAAGGUUAUCAGUUAAUAGGGCACAGGUGGCACGUAUGCACAGGUCUUUCUAACCCUAUGAUGCCUGUGCUCUUACAGGUCAAGGUUAAUACUAGUUCUUGUAAUGGUGAAAGUUUACUUUGUGCCAGGCGUUAUUUUAACCACAUUACAUACUUCUUCAAUAAUUACAACUCUUAUUAUUGCCAUUUUGCAAAUUAGGAAAUUGAGGCUCAGAGGAAUUAAAUAACUUCCCCAAGGACACAAGCUGGUAAAUUAUGAACCAGGAUUUGAACUCAAGAAGUCUAGCUCUUGCAGCCACUAUGGAAAACAGU